rnacentral:rRNA from 1 species
CACGUAGGGCGCGAGCGUUGUCCGGAAUUAUUGGGCGUAAAGAGCUCGUAGGCGGCCUGUUGCGUCCGCUGUGAAAUCCCGAGGCUCAACCUCGGGUCUGCAGUCGAUACGGGCAAACUAGAGUAUUGCAGGGGAGACUGGAAUUCCUGGUGUAGCGGUGAAAUGCGCAGAUAUCAGGAGGAACACCGGUGGCGAAGGCGGGUCUCUGGGCAAUAACUGACGCUGAGGAGCGAAAGCGUGGGGAGCGAACAGG